AUUAGGUAUUAAUAAUGAAAAAUAAUUUUUAUUUAAUAGUGUAUUGCAUGUGAUUUAAUUAAAUGUUUAAUGUUGUAUAGUUGCUUUUUGUUAGUGAUUAGACAAUCAAAUUUUAUUGAUUCUGGGUUCGAGUCCCAGCUCAGAUUUUUCUGAGGUCAUGGAUGUAUUAACUGUUUUAACUAAUAGUUAUUUUCAUAACUCAAAUUGGAUUCCAAACAAAAAAAAAAAUCAAAAGAUUUUAAAAGUAAUGCUGUAAAUGUGAAUUCAUUGAAUAAUGAAUCUAAUAUCAAUAUGGAUAGUAUUCGAAUGGACGAAAUCACUGGACGAUCUACACCACUUUUAGAUACAUUUACUGAUGAACUUGAUAUUAGUGGAGUUGAUGUGUUACAAAAUAGUGCUGAGAACAAAUCU